GUACGUGUCUCUGCCUCUAUUGUACACAGCAAAAUCUGCAGUGUUGAUUUGUGUUGAAUUUUCCAGUGUUAAAUAUUUCGAGUUGAUUAGUGUUGAUCUUAGUGUUGUUUUGAGCACAUCCAGUGUUAAAACAGAUUUGGGGGCGGAGCUUUGUGCUGCAACGGCUGACGGAGUUAUUUCAAACUCUGUUGGCGGUUUUUUCUCGGAGAGCGGAGGAGGAAAGUCGUCUGCUACAUUCAUUUCAAAAGGAGUUUCUGUUAACUGCCACUAUGCUGCUAUAAUACAUCCGAUUACAGUCAGGAUUUACCUAUGCAGAUCUCAUCUGUGAAGUAAAAAACAAGUUUGGACUUCCGGAUGGAACUGAGCUUCACAUUUUUGACGUCUCUGACACAGCAGUGGAGGAAGAUGUUCUUCUUGAACUUAUAGAAAGCAAACCUGACCUGUGUCUGACUGUUUGUGACAGCAUAUCAGAAAAACAUUCAUGUCCAUCCACCCUCCCUGAAGAACAGUCAGUCACUUUAAGUGUGACCGACUUCUUUAGAGAGCUAAGCAAAAAAAUCAUUGAGGAGGCCAAACACCUGACACGGACAAAUGAAUUGUUUCAACUUUUGAAAGCUGCUGAAAAAUUAGCAGAGAAUGAUGAGACCAACUGGGACAGUGAUAUGGCUUCACUGCUGCUCCUUCUUCAUCUGUUGCCACCCACAGCAGGACGAAAGAGGAUUAAAAUAAGCCCCAAUGAUGCUGUGCCUAAAAUGGUGCACUUUCAUAAGUCAUGUUGCAGCAUUGGUGAACACCUGCAACAACGUGAAGGCAAACAACCUUGCCAUUGGCAGAACCCAGAACAAAAUUGAGACCAACAUCGUUGUGGACAAACAGCUCAUUCCCUGCCAAGCCACUAGUUCACUGGGCGCGUUUGAUGAACUGUUUAAAUCCCACUAUUUUUUCAACUUGUCCUAUGAGGAAUCCCUGGUCCAGCUCUACACUUUUGUUCAAACAACCAUCUUUAACAUUGAUGUCACAACAACAGACGAGUCUCCGAGAGUUCGUGAGUUGCGUGCUAAACUGCUCAACUAGCUUAAAAAUGUUUAAGUGUUUCAUUUGUCAGGCUGUUCAUGUGACCUGUAAGUCUUUGACAAUCCAUUUAAGACUUGACCAUAGUUUUUAUCCAAGCACCAGGUUUAAGUUGCUUUGUGCACAGGGUUGUUGUAGGCGUCAGUUUUCAACUUAUUCUGGUUUCAAAAAGCAUUUGGAAACUGUUCACGUUACAGAGUGGUAAUUCAGCAAACUUGGAACCAUUUGAGGCUUCUUUCAAUGACACAACAGAAGUAAAUUCGGCAGAUGAAACUCUGAGGUCACAUUUCAAUGAGCAUUUAUGAGCGUACAAAGUGUUUGUUAGUAAUGAAAAUGAUUUCAUUAAAGCAGACAGUCUUGCCAUUCACAGGCCAUUCAACUUACAAAGUGCCUACAGUGAAGACAACAGCAUUUAUAUUGUACCUCUGUCUUUGUUGUAAUGAUGGUCAAGUUUACCUUGUGCUCAAAAUGUUAUUGUGCUUGGAGGAUUUCUUACUCUUAAUAAAGAGUUUAAAGCUUUCUCAAA